CAUGCAGUUAUCAAGCAAGACGGUUCUUAGAUGCGCUUAGAGGGACUUUGCUGCACGCGCGAUGCACUGAUGCAUUCACUGAGUGUAUCCUUGGCUGAGAGGCUUGGGUAAUCUGAUGUAUGCAUCGUGAUGGGGAUUGAUUAUUGUAAUUCUUAAUCAGAGACGAGGAAUGCCAGUUAUGCGCAAGUCAA
rnacentral:rRNA from 1 species